rnacentral:rRNA from 1 species
UGGGGAAUAUUGCGCAAUGGGCGAAAGCCUGACGCAGCGACGCCGCGUGAGGGACGACGGCCUUCGGGUUGUAAACCUCUUUCAGCAGGGAAGAAGGGAAACUGACGGUACCUGCAGAAGAAGCACCGGCUAACUACGUGCCAGCAGCCGCGGUAAUACGUAGGGUGCAAGCGUUGUCCGGAUUUAUUGGGCGUAAAGAGCUCGUAGGCGGUCUGUCACGUCGGAUGUGAAACCCCGGGGCUUAACUCCGGGCCUGCAUUCGAUACGGGCAGACUAGAGUGUGGUAGGGGAGACUGGAACUCCUGGUGUAGCGGUGAAAUGCGCAGAUAUCAGGAAGAACACCGGUGGCGAAGGCGGGUCUCUGGGCCACUACUGACGCUGAGGAGCGAAAGCGUGGGGAGCAAACA